AUCGGGAUUGGCCGUUGUGUUAUUUUUUAAACCCAACAAUGUAUAACGGUAGCUAUUAAAAAGCUCUAGACGUCAAGUUAGAAUUGGUCUUAACAGCACAAUAACACAUAAUAAAAAUGGUUGUUUCUAUUGUUUACAAGUAUCAUUAAGAAACGUGAAAUGUUUGUCUUUUGAUUUACGCAAAACACAAGAAAAGUAUUUCUAGCGGGCUAUCUAAGGAAGAUCAAUUGAUACAGAGUGGGUGUAUGUGUGUGUGUGUAUGAAUAAGAUGAGCCAAAAAUGUUGAUCCAAUUUCUAUCGUCAACUUUACAGUAACUGUGUAAACUGUACCAUUUCUGCCAUACGAUGCUGUGGCUCGAGCGUUUCGGUUCAGUUCUAUUACAGCUGUCGCAAUGGGAACAUUAAACUCGUCGUUUUUAUUUCGUUCACAGCUUAGACGUGUGAUAAGUAUUGCUAUCGUUGGCAUGCUGAUAUGUUUCUGCAUCGUGUUGUACGGUUUCAAACAUGCAGAUAGAACUGUGGAGAAAAUAAAUCGUGAUCGAUUGUUCCACCUACGUGAAGCAUGUGAACGUACCAACAAUGGAGGAAAAAACACAAUCGAAACUUCAUUCUACAUCCACGUGAAAAACGAAAGCUUGCUGUACUGCUUGGUGUUUAAAUCGGGCACUACUACCUGGUUUUAUAACAUCAACCGUUGGGCUGGGAUUAGUGAGGAAACAAUAUUAGACGAUAAAACGGACAAUUUUAAUAUGGCCCGCCAAAAGUAUCCAUGGGAAAAUCCGCGAGUGCUACUAACUAGCAUGAAAAAUACCUACUCCUUCAUUGUGGUGCGUAACCCUUUCGAACGCCUGAUCAGUGCCUACGAGGAACGCUUGCUCGGACAGCUGCAUCCGUACUUUAAAAACCUUUCGCAUCAAAUCUACAGACGUUACCAUGACGAUGGUAAUCAUUUUGGUAUUCCUUCCUUUGAAGACUUUGCGCGGUUCGUCGUGGAGCAGUCUCGAAACAAAAAACCAGCCGACCUGCAUUGGCGACCGAUAAACGACCUGUGCACACCUUGCCUGGCACGAUACGACUCGAUCUUAAAAAUGGAAACGUUUGCACAAGACAUCGAAUACCUUACAAACCGUACCCAAUUGCAUGGAAAGAUUAAGCCGGUGCAAAUGAACCGUUCGCGUCGCGAUCGAGUUGAUCGGUUAAUAGAAAAGUAUUUUUCUCAACUGACCAAACAGCAGUUUGAUGAUUUGUAUGAUGUGUAUCGAAUAGAUUUUGAAUUAUUUCAAUAUUCAUCGGAAAGGUUCUCAAAGUAUGUAAAGCAAACUGAAUAGCGUCAGCUGUAUAUAAAUCUGGCGAAAAUGAGGCACUUUAGAAGGAAUGAGGAACGUAUAAGUUAUAAGAAAAGUUAGCUGCUUAUUGCAAUUCCUGAUUUGAUAUUUUCUUAAUGGGGUUUCACAAAUGUAGAUACCUUAUCAUAGUUUGAAACAAAAAAGAAAAAACACUGAAUGGUGUAUUCAAGGUAGUAGUAGUAGUAGUAGUAGUUUCUUCAAAUACGUAAUGUUUCUAUGGGUACAAAUGACUGAAUAAAGGUAUACAUUCAUUCUAAUCGAAAUAUAACCUACUGGAUUGUGGAAAAUCCAUAUUGAUAAGGAAUCAUCGUAGUUGUUGUGUUAUUGGUUACUUUUCGAAUUCGGUUCGCCUCGAUCGCAUAAACAACCAUGAACCAACAACAGUGUAGGAUUGACGUAGCUUUCAUCGUACAGUAUUUGUGAUUGAUCAACAGUCUUGGCGUUGAAACGUGCUAUUGAUAUUUUCAAAACCGUUGUCUCAUAGGGCAUAUUUCGAAACACUUGUCUCAUCAGAAAACAUUUGAAAACUAUCACCAAGGUUGGGAAGAAAAGAAAAAAAUGUAAUUCUUUGUACAUUAGCUUUCAAAUUAAUUUGCGAAGAAACAGAAAAUGAUUGAGUUUUUAUAGUUUGUUUUUUAUUUAAAUUUCAUCGCGAAUACACGUGUUUCAGUUUGUGUAAACAUUGUUUAACUUAGACGUGUGAUAAGUAUUGCUAUCGUUGGCAUGCUGAUAUGUUUCUGCAUCGUGUUGUACGGUUUCAAACAUGCAGAUAGAACUGUGGAGAAAAUAAAUCGUGAUCGAUUGUUCCACCUACGUGAAGCAUGUGAACGUACCAACAAUGGAGGAA